UGUUUACAUCGAUGUAACCGAGAAUUUUGCUUGAGUGAAAACUAUGAUUUUAGGUUCUGAUCCACUGACUGAAAUCUUGGCCCUAAAGAAGCUGGUGGAAAUUUUGCCUUUGAAUUCCAACAGGUUUGCUACUUGUCCAGAAGUUACUGUGCGGUUUCUUAACUGACAUUAAGUUUGUGUUGCUGAUUAGUAUUCAAGUUACACCCAUCUGGCAAGUUGGAAGUGCCUGGUCCUCUGUUCCAGGUCUGGAGAGCAGUGGUAAAAACAAGCUCACGCUGCAGGGAGCAGCAGUGCAUCAGCAGGACUAGGGCCACGCAGGUGCUGGUCACCGGCUUCCGUAGGGCCUUGCAGGGAGACGUUCCGCUGCCUACGCUCGUCCACGUCCUUUUAAAGGCCAGACACCAGGAGAAGAUGGAAAGCUGGGGUCAAACAGCAGCAUCGUGAAAGAAAACCCAACCUCGACCCUGCGUAAUGCAGGAGCUACAACUGGAUAAUGAGGACCAUACUGCGACACUGAGUUUGGACCAUUGCAAAGUUUCACUCAGGUGCUGGGUUGCCUGAUGUGACUCGAAACAAGACAAUCGCUUCAGGCACUGAGCGAAGCAGGUACUACGGUGCUCUGACCACUUGGACCCCGGCAGAGGCAGAGGACUGAUUGGAUUUGAUGCUCGGGUGAUCCUAAGAGCAAACCGUGCCCCAUGCUGCACAGGCAGGUAGAAGCAUAAAGCCCAAAACGCGUCACUGUAAACCAUCAUGUAGUGUGAGUUAAAUCAGAGCUGAGGAAUAUUUGACAUCACACAAUGAUGGCUGGCUGAAAGCAGCCAAAGAUAAAAGUGUCCAGAAGAGAAGAAAACAAGUGAGUAAUUCAUUUUUCCACUGAAUAUCUGGGUCACGGGAUUGUUUUAUUUCCGGGCUCAAAAUUAAUGCAACUUUCAUGGCAGAUUUUUAGUACUGUGAAGGCCAGAAUAGCAGUUUUAAGACCAGUUUCAUUCCAGGUCUCAAAGGAGGUGGUUUUACAAUUGGUUUACACUGCUCCAACUCCCCACUGGCACAGAAAGGGGUGAUCCCUCUCUCACCCCUUGCUGCAGGUUUCCAUCUCUUCUCCUGUGUAUUUCCCCACCAGUAAUUCUUCCCCAGGACCAGUUUUUGGUCGCUGGAUCAGAGGGCGGACCUGAUCACUAAGCAUGGAGACGCUGGCACUGCUGAGAGCAGAGCAAGAGGUGUCCUUCGGGGGCUUGCCCAGGGGGAUUUCCACCUCACAGCCCUGCCACUGUCCCUGCAAGCCAGCUCAGGUAGCCUGUGGCUUCUAGAGGUGCUGGAGACGUCCGAUCCACAAGUAGCCGGGUGAGCUCUUGGGCUGCCCCAGGCAGGAGGGAAAAGCCAACAGAGAUGGUUAUUUUCUCGACCUCUCUGCAUCUGUCUUUCCCUAGACAAUUUACCUACCCUGUCACUGAUUCUACCUUUCCCACCCUAACGUGGGGUCCUGACUGUCAGAAAUAAGUAGAAAUCUUUUAAUUGACUUCUACUAUUAGGACCAUGGUUCUGGUAUUACACUGUUUUGUGUCAAGGUGAGCUUGUGAAGAGAAAUACCCAUCUGUAAAAUUGUAUUUUGUAGUCCAAUUUAAGCAAAAGUUGCAGUUUAGCUAAGAGAUUAUCUAGCUUUACCUUUAUACCUCACCUCCUGGUUCACCUACCUACUGCUCAGUUAUGACUUCCAGGACAGUUUGAUAUGGGAGACUGCUACAUCAGUGUUUUGAAAGUUUCUCUCUUGAAUUCUAGGAUCUUCAGCUGGCACACACUAAUGCUUCUCUUCUCAAAAAUGUAUUUUAAAGUGCAAGCUGUCAACAAUUCUGUGAGAUGCACGCUGCUGUUUCCUAGAAGAUACUUAAGAAAAAACCUGCAUCAAUGAGAAGGGACAACAAAAAGAAAACUGCAGCCAGUGGCAAGGUAGGAAUUAUUAUAUGUUUGGCAUAUCUCUACUCUUCAUUGCUAGGAGAGAAAAGCACUGAAGUCUUAUUUUACCUGAACUUGAAAAAUCCUUCACAUCUAAUGGAGUUACUAUACUGGUGACCAUCUCCAGUCCUGUUUCUAAUUACCACAGUUUCACUGGCUAGUGGGCUAAUAAUGUUAGUUUUAAAAUACAGUGCUCAUGAUUAAAUUCCAUUAUAAAAUUAUCCUAUUUUUAAUAGAUCCAGUAAUAUACUAACCAAUAGGAAACAAGCCUUCUUAAAAAAAAACUAAAAGAACAAAAGCCAACCAAAGAAACACCACCACCCCCGCAAAACCCAACAUUUCUGUCUCUUGCAUUCACAUAAUAUAGCACACUCCUUCCAGGAAAUUCUUUUCAUUUUUUUACAGUGGAGGACAGGAAAGAAGGAAGUGACCAUGACUAGUACAUUUCUCCUCUUGUUUUCACAGAGUGUGCAAAGAAAAAGGGGAAAUAAACUGCAGAAAGUGGUUACA